AGGGGCUUAGGAUAAAUCAGACCAAGGGCCUUCAAAGCCCACAGUGGAGGUGAAAAUCCUCCAGCCCCUG
rnacentral:tRNA from 1 species